rnacentral:rRNA from 1 species
UACGUAGGGGGGCUAGCGUUGUCCGGAAUCAUUGGGCGUAAAGAGCGUGUAGGCGGUCCGGUAAGUCCGCUGUGAAAGUCGGGGGGCUCAACCCUCGAAUGCCGGUGGAUACUGUCGGGCUAGAGUGCGGAAGAGGCGAGUGGAAUUCCUGGUGUAGCGGUGAAAUGCGCAGAUAUCAGGAGGAACACCUAUUGCGAAGGCAGCUCGCUGGGACGUUACUGACGCUGAGACGCGAAAAGCGUGGGGAGCAAACAGG